CUGAAUCACUGAUUCACUCUUUGGUCGAGGAGAUCAGACGAAUUGGGGAAAGCAAAACCCAUACUCUGAAGAAAGUUGAAUCGUUUCUCAACAAUCGUUUUCACCAGCAAAUGCAAGCGCCAAUAUCUGGAUGACAUCCUGAAAAUGGUUAAAGGUAUUGUCGGGAAAGUGCGGGAGCAAAAAGAUGAGAUCAAUGUCAAAGAAACAACUGUGUCGGGAUCUUGAGCUGAACCAGGUUACAGAUCGAAAUGUUGGUGAUUUAUCUGGUGGCAAGCUGCAGAGGUUUGCUAUCGCUCUAAAUAUUCCAUUAUCAUUUAUUUACUAGUUGUUUUCAGGUUGCUGAGACUCCAGAGGAAAUUCAUUCGUAUACACGAUACAAAUACCAUAGGAUGAGUAAACCUCAAGGAAAUUUUAAGCUUCAUAUCCUGAUUCUCAAAUUGUUGUUAUGCUUGGUGAAAAUGGGACAGGGAAGACAACAUUUAUGAUUUAUCCGCAGGCUAGUAUGCCUUCUAGAUCCUUUAUUCUAUGAGUGCAUGGCUAUUCUUGAUUCUGUAGAGACAUAUCUUUUGUGAAUCCAAAAUAAGGUGUGAAUUUCUUAAUCACUGCUACAACUAUAUACAUGCUGAUUCAUUGAAACCCGACGAGGUGGAUAAUUCAGAUGUAGAAAUACCUGAAUUUAAUGUGUCUUACAAACCCCAGGAGAUCAGUCCUAAGUCUCUAUCUUCUGUUAGAGACUCUCUGCACAAAAGAAUCCGUAUGCGUGCAUGCAUCCUCUGUUUGUGUCAGAUGUCAUGAAACCACUCCAAAUUGAGCAAUCAAUGGAUUAGCAAGUUAAGAAUCUCUCAGGUGGAGAGCGGCAAAGAGUUGCAUUAUGUUUUUGUCUUGGAAAGCCUAUUGUUUCACCAAAAGCCAUUAAGAGGUUUAUCCUUUAUGCAAAGAAGACUGCUUUUGUCGUUGAGCAUGAUUUCAUAAUGGCGACAUAUCAUGCUGAUAGGGUGAUUGUGUUUGAGGGGAGACCAUCUAUUGAUUCUACUGCCAAUGCUCCUCAGUCUUUGUUGACAGGGAUGAAGCUUAUCCUAUCUCAAUUGGAUAUCACAUUUAGAUGCGACCCUACAAAUUUCAGGCCGAGAUUAACAAGUUGGAAUCCACAAAAGACAAGGAGCAAAAUGCUGCUGGGGCCUUUUAUUACCUCAACUAAGGCGUACCAGAGGUCAAGUUUCAUCAAUUGGAUAUUGUGGACGGGGUCCAACCAAUAUCGGCUCAUGGAUUAACAAGUUGCAUUCCAAGGGAGACGGGGACUAGAUGGAAUCCACGAGAGACGGGAACAAGUUGGAAUUCGCGAGAGACGGGGUACAAAGAGCUGCAGGUCCAUAGUAUUAUCUUGAGCUACCUAGACACCAAAAGGGCUCCAACCCAAUCUGCUUUUACAGUAGUCACACUAGCUAGUUUGGAAGCGUGUACGAUCGCGAGGAGAAUAAUGACCUCUGAACAGAACAUCCAUCGAAUCCAUUCCCACCAGGAAAAUGUCCCACAUUUUGGGGGAAUGAAGCAUGCAUGGCUUUAUGCUCCAGUAUCGAAAAGAUUGAGAAUAUUUGAGUGUGAAAAAACUACAUAGAGAAUCUGGUGAGCUAGAUGACCAUAAUUUCAGUUCUUAAUGCGUUUACAAUACAAUCAGCUCAUACCUACUUCCAAAUAACAGGUUGGCUUUCCAGCCCUGUAUACGUGCAGCCAUGAGCAGGAAAAUAACUUGCUCCCACUGUUCACAUGACACCUACAGAUAUGAAAUCUCAGGAACACAGCACAUCAUUUAUCUGACAAUUAUUGAAAAGUCGACUACUAAACUUUCCUGGUCCACCCAUCUCUUUUGAUAAUUGAUAUACAAAGUCCACAGUCAGUGCAGAUAUCGAUAUUUCAUAUUGAUGAGGGAGUUAGCGUCGACGCCAACUGAAACUAUUUACAGAAUCAUAGUAUUGUAUCUUCACUAACUGUAUUGAGAAUUUACAACCACAAGUUUGCAGUAGAGUUAGAAUGUGCUAUAUUUUGACUGGGAUAUGAGAAAAGGGUAAAUGCAUUAUAUAGCCAUUCACCCCUGGCAUAUUUUUUUCCCUAGGAAUAAAAAUAAGUCAUCAGAUGUUGUGAUAUACAAGAAAUAGCAUAGAUAUUUAUAUGAACCGGGGAAUUGUAUCAUCCAUAUGAUAUGGCUAUUUGAGAUGCUGAUAAAAUAACCUAUGAAUUCCUAAGCAGAAUACGUAAUAGCAUAGAUAGCUUA